rnacentral:rRNA from 1 species
GAUGAACGCUGGCGGCGUGCUUAACACAUGCAAGUCGAACGGAAAGGCUCCUGCUUGCAGGGGUACUCGAGUGGCGAACGGGUGAGUAACACGUGGGUGAUCUGCCCUGCACUUCGGGAUAAGCCUGGGAAACUGGGUCUAAUACCGGAUAGGACGAUGUUUUGGAUGCCAUUGUGGAAAGUUGUUCGGUGUGGGAUGAGCUCGCGGCCUAUCAGCUUGUUGGUGGGGUAAUGGCCUACGAAGGCGUCGACGGGUAGCCGGCCUGAGAGGGUGUACGGCCACAUUGGGACUGAGAUACGGCCCAGACUCCUACGGGAGGCAGCAGUGGGGAAUAUUGCACAAUGGGCGCAAGCCUGAGGCAGCGACGCCGCGUGCGGGAUGCCGGCCUUCGGGGUGUAAACUCCUUUCGCUAGGGACGAAGCGCUAGUGACGGUACCUGGAGAAGAAGCACCGGCUAACUACGUG